rnacentral:rRNA from 1 species
UGGGGAAUAUUGCACAAUGGGCGGAAGCCUGAUGCAGCGACGCCGCGUGGGGGAUGACGGUCUUCGGAUUGUAAACCCCUUUCAGUAGGGACGAAGCGCAAGUGACGGUACCUGCAGAAGAAGCACCGGCCAACUACGUGCCAGCAGCCGCGGUAAUACGUAGGGUGCGAGCGUUGUCCGGAAUUACUGGGCGUAAAGAGCUCGUAGGCGGUUUGUCACGUCGUCUGUGAAAUCCUCCAGCUUAACUGGGGGCGUGCAGGCGAUACGGGCAGACUUGAGUACUACAGGGGAGACUGGAAUUCCUGGUGUAGCGGUGAAAUGCGCAGAUAUCAGGAGGAACACCGGUGGCGAAGGCGGGUCUCUGGGUAGUAACUGACGCUGAGGAGCGAAAGCAUGGGUAGCGAACA